GAUUGGAAGUUAUCGUGGGUAGAACGAUGUCGGCGGUGCUUUUGGCCUGGUUGCACCAUUGGGAUAAAGAAUUCUGAUAUUCUCGUUCCUUUAUAGAAUGUCAUAGACUUAUUCAUAACGCCGAUAACUUCAUUGAUUUCCAUAAAUUUUACAUGAACUUUGCUUGGAUUUGCUUGACAAACCGAAAAUAUUGAAAGUACCAUUGCAAAUAUUACAGUUUCUGAUUGUUUGUUCAUGAUAAGAGGAUACUAGUUACUGAUCUAAAGAAAAAUGUGCACUGGCGGCGUAUUAGCAAGAAUGAUGACAGGUUCUUGGUCUCACAAUAAAUUCAAUAAUCAGGGUAUAUUCUGUGGCUUAUCAAUCAAAAUGGUUUCCUAGAGAUCAUUUAAAACAUUUAAUAACUUCUUGGAAAAAUUGGGUAAUCUCCUAUCUAUAAAUUGCUCUUAUCAGUUAUUUACUGACAAGACU